rnacentral:rRNA from 1 species
UACGUAGGGGCCGAGCGUUAUCCGGAAUUAUUGGGCGUAAAGAGCGCGCAGGUGGUUGAUUAAGUCUGAUGUGAAAGCCCACGGCUUAACCGUGGAGGGUCAUUGGAAACUGGUCGACUUGAGUGCAGAAGAGGGAAGUGGAAUUCCAUGUGUAGCGGUGAAAUGCGUAGAGAUAUGGAGGAACACCAGUGGCGAAGGCGGCUUCCUGGUCUGUAACUGACACUGAGGCGCGAAAGCGUGGGGAGCAAACAGG